rnacentral:rRNA from 1 species
GACGAACGCUGGCGGCGUGCCUAAUACAUGCAAGUCGAACGCAGUGGGGACGGGUGAGUAACACGUGGGUAACCUCCCAUCAGAGGGGAUAACACUUGGAAACAGGUGCUAAACCGAUACUGAUGGAUGGACCCGCGGUGCAUUAGCUAGUUGGUGAGGUAACGGCUCACCAAGGCCACGAUGCAUAGCCAACAUGAGAGGGUGAUGGGCCAACCUGGGACUGAGACACGGCCCAGACUCAUACGAGAGGCAGCAGUAGGGAAUCUUCGGACAUGGACGAAAGUCUGACCGAGAAACGCAGCGUGAGUGAAGAGGGUUUUCAGAUCGUAAAACUCGGUUGUGAGAGAAGCGGUAUCUAACCAGAAGGCCACGGCUAACUACGUGCCAGCAGCCGCGGUAAUAC